GGGUGCACAGAAGGAACCACAAAAGGCGUGUAGCGCCAUUCUCGCUCUCUGCUUUGGUGCAGCCC
rnacentral:snoRNA from 2 species